UUGUUGGUUUGUCACAGCCAAGGUAAUGACUAAGGGAGACAGUCGGGGGCAUCUGUACUGCAGCGCUAGAGGUGAAAUUCUUGGACCGUUGCAAGACAAACAACAGCGAAAGCAUUUGCCAAGUAUGUUUUCAUUAAUCAAGAACGAAAGUUAGAGGUUCGAAGGCGAUCAGAUACCGCCCUAGUUCUAACCAUAAACGAUGCCAACCAGCAAUCUAUCAAGUGUUAUAUCCAUGACCUGAUAGGCAGCUUCUGGGAAACCAAAGUCUUUGGGUUCCGGGGGAAGUAUGGUUGCAAAGCUGAAACUUAAAGGAAUUGACGGAAGGGCACCACCAGGAGUGGAGCCUGCGGCUUAAUUUGACUCAACACGGGGAACCUCACCAGGCCCAGACACUGGAAGGAUUGACAGAAUGAGAGCUCUUUCUCGAUUCGGUGGGUGGUGGUGCAUGGCCGUUCUUAGUUGGUGGAGUGAUUUGUCUGGUUAAUUC
rnacentral:rRNA from 1 species